AAGGUGAAAAAGCACCCCGGGAGGGGAGUUAAAAGUCCCUGAAACCGCGUGCCUACAAACCGUCGGGGCCUGCCUUCGGGCGGGUGACGGCGUGCCUAUUGAAGAAUGAGCCGGCGAGUGAAUCUCAGUGGCCUGGUUAAGCAAGGGAGCUUGCGGAGCCGUAGCGAAAGCGAGUCCGAACAGGGCGCGUCCGCCUUAGGGCGGGAGUCGCUGGGAUUCAGCCCGAAACCGAGUGAGCUACUCAUGGCCAGGGUGAAGCUUCGAUAGUAUCGGAGUGGAGGCCCGAACCAUUAGACGGUGCAAAGUCUCUGGAUGAGCUGUGAGUAGAGGUGAAAUGCCAAUCGAACUCGGAGAUAGCUGGUUCUCCCCGAAAUGCAUUGAGGUGCAGCCUCAGCAGACGUCUCCUGGAGGUAGGGCACUGAAUGGGCUAGGGGGCUACCCGCUUACCAAACCCAAUCAAACCACGAAUGCCAGGAGAUAGGGCUGGGAGUGAGCCCGUGGGGGAUAAACUUCACGGACAAAAGGGGAACAACCCAGACCACCGGCUAAGGUCCCGAAGUGUGCGCUAAGUGGGAAAGGAUGUGAGAUAGCCCAGACAGCCAGGAGGUUGGCUUAGAAGCAGCCACCCUUUAAAGAGUGCGUAACAGCUCACUGGUCGAUGCCGUCUCGCGCCGAAAAUCCAACGGGGCUAAAGCGCACCACCGAAGCCGUGGUCCUCCCGCGGAAGCGGGGGGAGGUAGGGGAGCGUUCCGUCCAGCGGUGAAGCCGGGCCGUAAGGCAGGGUGGAGCGGACGGAAGUGAGAAUGCCGGCAUGAGUAGCAAAAGGCGAGUGAGAAUCUCGCCCACCGAAAGCCUAAGGUUUCCUACGGAAGGAUCGUCCGCGUAGGGUUAGGCGGGCCUAAGGAUAAGGCGUAGAGCCGAGGCCGAUGGACAGACGGUUAUUAUUCCGUCCCCGUCUGCAUGGCGUUAUGAGACGAAGGGGGGACCCAGGAGGGUAGGCUGAGCGGGCCGACUGGACAUGGUCCGUCCCUGGCUUGUAGGCGUCCGGAGGGAGGCAAAUCCCUCUCCGGGUUAAGCUGAGGGGCCGGGGGGAGGAGGAGAUUCGUCAAAUCCAACUCAGUUGAGCCCACGCUGGCUAGAAAAGCCUCGUCGUCCAGUCAUGCAGGCGCCCGUACCGCAAACCGACACAGGUAGGCUGGGGUAAGCGCCCUCAGGUGGUUGAGUGAUCCCCCCUCAAGGAACUCGGCAAUUUGGCCUCGUAACUUCGGGAGAAGAGGUGCCUCGGCCCGUGAAGCCGCUAGCCGGCGGAGCGGGCGGAGGCCGCAGCGAAGCGGCCCUGACGACUGUUUAACAAAAACACAGGUCUCUGCCAAAGCGAAAGCUGAGGUAUAGGGGCUGACACCUGCCCGGUGCCGGAAGGUUAAGGGGAGGGCUGAUGAGGCCCAAACCGAAGCCCCGGUGAACGGCGGCCGUAACUAUAACGGUCCUAAGGUAGCGAAAUUCCUUGUCGGGUAAGUUCCGACCCGCACGAAAGGUGUCACGAGUGGGGCACUGUCUCGAGGGGGGGCUCAGCGAAAUUGCAGGACCCGUGAAGAUGCGGGUUACCCGCUGCAGGACAAAAAGACCCCGUGGAGCUUUACUGCAGCUUGGCGUUGAAGGCGGGCCUGGGAUGCGUAGGAUAGGUGGGAGGCUGUGAAGCCCUUCCUCCGGGAAGGGUGGAGCCGUCCUUGAAAUACCACUCUUCUCAGGUCUUCCUCCUAACCCCGCCCUCGGCGGGAGACAGCGCCUGGUGGGCAGUUUGACUGGGGCGGUCGCCUCCUAAAAGGUAACGGAGGCGUCCAAAGGUCCCCUCAGGCUGGAUGGAAAUCAGCCGCCGAGCGCAUUGGUAUAAGGGGGCUUGACUGUGAGGCCUACAAGCCGAACAGGGACGAAAGUCGGGCAAAGUGACCCUACGGUUCCGUGUGGAAGGGCCGUGGAUCAUCGGAUAAAAGCUACCCCGGGGAUAACAGGCUGAUCUCUCCCAAGCGUUCACAGCGACGGGGAGGUUUGGCACCUCGAUGUCGGCUCGUCGCAUCCUGGGGCUGGAGUAGGU
rnacentral:rRNA from 1 species